GCUCUUUCUUUGACAUGUUUCUCAUAUGUGCUCUUACUUUAAUAUUUCUACUGCAAUCAAACGAGUUUAUCUUAUUUAGUUUCCUCAGACUUUAAUUAGUAAAAUACCUGAUCUCCCAGACACUAGUCUGUCCUAUCUCCUAUCCAAUUUUUUUUUGAUAGCCUAAAACAAAAACAUUCUUUAGAUCAUGACAGGACUAUGCUCAAAUUCUACUGGUUCUUGUUUAUCAGAAUGAAAUCUAAAUUCCUGGGUCUGACUCAACCAGCCUUCCCAUUCUUAUCUUCCCUGCAGUCUUCUGGCCACAUUAGGCUUAAUCUAGCCUCAUUUCCUCAUUCCUGCUGAGCUUUCUCCUAGGAGUAUCUCCUUCCUCCUGCCUACGCAUAUUCUCUGUAUUCUUACAUUCUUAGGGUUGCCACUAUUCCAGGAGGUCUUACCUCACCAUCCUGCUUCAAUUGUACGGCUCCUCUGUAUUUUCCAACACUUUUGGUCUUAAUUUCUGCCUGAUACUUAAGAGUGCCUAACUGAUUCCUGGCUAGCUGGGCUCUUCCAGUUUUAAUACUGAUAGUCCUUCCCUGGGAAGCUCCUCAGUCCUAUCAUUGUUUGGAGGACUUUUCUUCUCAACUAAAUUGGAAUCUCAGUAAAGGUACCUAAGCUAAUGAAUUUCAACUGGUUGCCGAGAUGAGCAAUGAGUGGGGACCUGGGAGAAAGAGGUCACGGACGGCAAGUAGGAGGCCCCCCCAUAAAUCACAAGAUGGAGCAUUUAUGAGCUGGCUGUAAAUUGUCAGCAUAAGGCUACAGAGUGAGCCUAGACUUUGAUCAUAAAUAAAGAAGAAAGCUAAAACAAUAUAAACCGGGGUGCCCAAAUUAAAUGGAAGAUACAACUGCA